GACAGAGGAGGCGAGCGUUAUCCGGAGUCACUGGGCGUAAAGCGCGCGCAGGCGGCAACCUAAGUGUCGUGUGAAAGCCCCCGGCUCAACCGGGGGAGGCCAUGGCAAACUGGGUCGCUCGAGCGGCGGAGAGGCCCCUCGAAUUGCCGGUGUAGCGGUGAAAUGCGUAGAGAUCGGCAGGAAGACCAAGGGGGAAGCCAGGGGGCUGGCCGCAGGCUGACGCUGAGGCGCGACAGCGUGGGGAGCAAACCGG
rnacentral:rRNA from 1 species